GUAGUCUCGCACAGAUGCAUAUCAAUAAGCGGAGGAAAAGAAACUAACAAGGAUUCCCUCAGUAACGGCGAGUGAAGCGGGAAGAGCUCAAAUUUGAAAUCUUGAAAGGUCACCUUUCACGAAUUGUAGUUUAAAGAAGUGUUUUCUGUUACGAUCGUAAUAUAAGUUCUUUGGAAUAGGACAUCACAGAGGGUGAGAAUCCCGUCUAUGAUUGCGAUUUGUAGCUUUGUGAUUACACUUUCAAAGAGUCGGGUUGUUUGGGAAUGCAGCCCAAAACGGGAGGUAAAUUUCUUCUAAGGCUAAAUAUUGGCGAGAGACCGAUAGCGAACAAGUACCGUGAGGGAAAGAUGAAAAGAACUUUGAAAAGAGAGUUAAAUAGUACGUGAAAUUGUCAAAAGGGAAGCGUUUAACACCAGUGUUGUUUUCUGAAAAUCAACCUCUGUUAGCUUUAUGCAUGUUUGUUUAGACCUAAUCAGCUAUCUUGCAUGUUCUAUUGUUUGCAGUGGUGCACUUUUCAGUUUACAGGUCAACAUCAGUUUUUUUUACCGUAAAAAAGUUAAAGAAAGGUAGCUCAUGGCUCCGGUCGUGAGUGUUAUAGUCUUUUUCCUAUGCGGUAGGAGAGACUGAGGUCUGCAGUGUAGGCUAUUUGGCUAGAUACUCAGGUGCUAUGUGAUACCAUUUCAUAAACAACUUGUUGAUUAUGUUUUGUCUAUUGCAUACUCGCUUGUACUAUCAUACCUACGCUUAGGAUGUUGAGUCGUAGAGCACGCA
rnacentral:rRNA from 1 species